UACAGAGGGCUCAAGCGUUGUUCGGAUUCAUUGGGCGUAAAGGGCGCGUAGGUGGCGCUGUAAGUCGGGUGUGAAAUUUCGGAGCUUAACUCCGAAACUGCAUUCGAUACUGCGGUGCUUGAGGACUGGAGAGGAGACUGGAAUUCAUGGUGUAGCAGUGAAAUGCGUAGAGAUCAUGAGGAAGACCAGUGGCGAAGGCGGGUCUCUGGACAGUACCUGACACUGAGGCACGAAGGCCAGGGGAGCAAACGGG
rnacentral:rRNA from 1 species